rnacentral:lncRNA from 1 species
CCGCAGUGGCCAGAGUUUCCUUCAGAACCUCCUCCCCCAGGAGCUUGCUACAAGUGCCGGAAAUCUGGCCACUAGGCCAAGGAAUGCCCACAGCCCGGGAUUCCUCCUAAGCCGUGUCCCAUCUGUGCAGGACCCAACUGAAAAUCGGACUGUUCAACUCACCUGGCAGCCACUCUCAGGGCCCCUAGAACUCUGGCCCAAGGCUCUCUGACUCCUUCCCAGAUCUUCUCAGCUUAGCAGCUGAAGACUGACACUGCCAGAUCGCCUCAAAAGCCUACAGGACCAUCACAGACGCUCUGGGUAACUCUCACAGUGGAGGAAAGCUUCCCAGUUAAUCUGCUAUUUGUGUGUGACUUCUUGCUUGCAUUUUAUGGAAGUGGAGCUGGGAGAAAUGAUUUCUGAUCCCCAUUCUUGAGAACUUUGUACUUGGCUCUAUUGAUGUGCCUGUCCAUGUGCCAAAAACACCGAAUUCUGUUGCUCCUGUAAUACUAUUCACUUUCUUUCUAGCACGUAGGAGACUCUGGAGGUUACUAUGUUCAUUUACUUCUUUACCUGCCUAUUACCCACCUCCUUUGACUAAAAUGAAAGCUCAAUGUGAGCCGUGACCUUGUCCCACUCAUGACUUAUCCCUAACAUUUUAAAUGGUGACUGAUGGAAAGUGCUUACUCAAUACUUGUUGGCCAAAUUACUAAAUGUAAAUGUCUGGUAGGUUAAAUCCUUUCUAGUUGUCCUUUCUCUCCAAAAUGUUGGCAACUCUCACUUGUUUACUUCUGAAAAAGUAAAACUUAAAGCUGGGCACAGUGGCUCAGGCCUGUAAUCCCAACACUUUGGGAGGUCGAAGCAGGAGGAUCAUGUAAGCCCAGGAGUUUGAGACCAGCCCGGGCAACAUAGUGAGACUGCCAUCUCUACCAAAAAAAAAAAAAUUUUUUUUUUUAAUUAGCCAGAUGAGGUGGCAUGUGCCUGUAGUCCUGGCUACUCGGGAGGCUGAGGUAGGAGGACUGCUUGAGUUCAGAAGGUCAAGGUUGCAGUGAGCUGUGAUGAUUGCACCACUGCACUUCAGCCUACCUGGGCAACAGAGCAAGACCCUGUCUCAAAAAAAAAAAAAAAAAAAAAUGGAAAAGAAAGGGAAGGGGGAAAGACAGGAAGGAAAAAAAGAGUAUGUAAGAAUCAUUUUAAUAGGCUGCAAAAAUUCCUAUCAACCCCUCCAGGAGGUGGAGCUACUUAUAAGGGGGGACUGAAUUUAGCAACCCAAUUCCAAAGAACAGUGUGUUGAAAUGAAAAGGAGCAGCUUUAUAGCAGAGAAAUCUGGCAGACCCUACCUUAUCCAAGUGAUUAACUUUUCUUGUUAUUAAAACCACCACUCCCGGCCUUAACAUCCUUUUAAAAUGAGAAAAUUUAGGCCGGGCAUGGUGGCUGAUGCCUGUAAUCCCAACACUUCGGGAGGCCGAGGUGGGUGGAUCACCUGAGGUCAGGAGUUCGAGACCAACCUGGCCAACAUGGUGAAACGCUGUCUCUACUAAAAAUACAAAAAAUUAGCCGGGUGUGGUGGCGAGCACCUGUAACCCCAGCUACUUGGGAAGCUGAGGCAGGAGAACCGCUUGAACCCGGGAGGCGGAGGCUACAGUGAGCCGAGAUUGUGUCACUGUACUCCAGCCUGGGCAAGAAAGCAAGACUCUGUCUCAAAAAAAUAAAUAAAAUAAAAUGAGAAAAUUUAAGCUACACAACUUAACAGUAUAGGAACCAUGCAGAUAUCAUGUACUCUGAUGUUGUGAUGAGACGGGCACCUCACCUCUGUGGUAGUCUUCCCCAAAACAUAACCUCAGUGAAAUCAUGAGACAAACCCAAAGUGAUUGUAUUCUACAAAACACCUGACUAGUAUUCUUCAAACUGUCAGGACCAUGAAAAACAAGGAAAAACAGAAAUACGUCACAAUGCAGAGGAGACUAAGGGAAAAUGAUGACUAACUAUGGCAUCUUGAAUGGGAUCUUGGAAUAGAAAAAGGCUAUUGGUACAAAACAGACAAAAUCCAAAUAAAGACUGUAGUUUUGUCAAUAGUUUUUUUUUUUUUUUUUGAGAGGGAGUCUCGCUCUGUUGCCCAGGCUGGAGUGCAGUGGCACGAUCUUGGCUUACUGCAAGCUCCGUCCCUGGGUUCACGCCAUUCUCCUGCCUCAGCCUCCCGAGUAGCUGGGAAUAUAGGCGCCCACCACUACGCCCGGCUAAUUUUUUGUAUAUUUAGUAGAGACGGGGUUUCACCAUGUUAGCCAGGAUGGUCUCGAUUUCCUGACCUCGUGAUCCACCCACCUCGGCCUCCCAAAGUGCUGGGAUUACAGGCGUGAGCAACCGCACCCGGCCUUGUCAAUAGUUUUGUACCAAUGUUAGAUGUUUAUUUUUGCCAAACAUACCAGGAUUAAGCAAAAUGUUAACAUUAGGGGAAACUGGGUGUAGGGUCUACAGAAAUUCUCCCAUUGUCUCUGUAACUUUUUCUAAAACUAUUCAAAAAUAAAAAGUUUUUUUAAAGCCUAU